GACGAACGCUGGCGGCGUGCUUAACACAUGCAAGUGGAGCGACGAACCAGACUUCGGUCUGGGGCAGAGCCGCGAACGGGUGAGUAACACGUGGGUAACGUGCCUCGAUGACCGGGACAACCCGAGGAAACUCGGGCUAAUACCGGAUGUGCUCAGGUGACAUCAGUCAUGUGAGUAAAGGUAGCUUCGGCCUCCGCAUCGAGAUCGGCCCGCGGCGCAUUAGCUUGUUGGUGGGGUAACGGCCUACCAAGGCGACGAUGCGUAGCUGGUCUGAGAGGACGAUCAGCCACACUGGGACUGAGACACGGCCCAGACUCCUACGGGAGGCAGCAGUGGGGAAUCUUGCGCAAUGCACGAAAGUGUGACGCAGCAACGCCGCGUGGGGGAAGAAGGCCU
rnacentral:rRNA from 1 species